rnacentral:rRNA from 1 species
AUUGAACGCUGGCGGCAGGCCUAACACAUGCAAGUCGAGCGAGCGGCGGACGGGUGAGUAAUGUCUGGGAAACUGCCUGAUGGAGGGGGAUAACUACUGGAAACGGUAGCUAAUACCGCAUCCCAUCAGAUGUGCACAGAUGGGAUUAGCUAGUAGGUGGGGUAAAGGCUCACCUAGGCGACGAUCCCUAGCUGGUCUGAGAGGAUGACCAGCCACACUGGAACUGACACACGGUCGAGACUCCUACGGGAGGCAGCAGUGGGGAAUAUGUCACAAUGGGCGUAAUCCUGAUGCAGCCAUGCCUCGUGUGUGAAGAAGGCCUUCGGGUUGUAAAGCACUUUCAGCGGGGAGGCGUUACCCGCAGAAGAAGCACCGGCUAACUCCGUGCCAGCCGCCGCGGUAAUAC